GCCGUGACUCAGCGGUAGAGCAUCUGCUUGGAGUGCAGAAGGUCCCGGGUUCAAUCCCCAACAGCAUCU